UUUGUUUGAUUUGUAACAAAAUAUAAGUACAUGAAGUUGGUCGCAUAUAAUGAAGAGUUUGACAUAUGGGGCAAAAUAUGGUGGCGGAUUUACUUGCAAAGGAAGAUGGUAGAAGGAAAA